rnacentral:lncRNA from 1 species
GAUAGAAACAACACUCCCUGCUUCCUGACUGCGCAUGCCUCAAGCUCCUGCUGCUCACUAUGCCGGCCUUGUCAUGGUGGAUGGUACCUUUGAACCUCGAGGCAAAAUAACACUUCACCCCCUUACAUUGUAUUUGUUCAGAUAGUUUAUGGCAGCCACUGGAGAAGUAAAUAAUACAACACCUCAAAGAAUUGAAAACACACAUAGUGGCUGGCUUUUCAUCGUACAACUGAAAGAACAAGCUGGUCAGGAAAGUGAUCCCACCCUGCACUGAAGGAUGGAGUCAUCAACUCUGCAUAAACUAAACAUCUCCAAGUGAAUAUGGAUUAAUGUUUCUCCGACCAUGAAGAAAAUAUGCAUUUGAAAAACUGAACUAGAGGAAUUAUUGCUGCAAUUUUGUUUCCUCCUGAUAUCAUGGAGCCACAAGCUGUGGGCACAGCCCCAGUGUGAAAAGAGCCAGUGUUGUCCAGGGUAACAGCACUGUCUAAGAGAGCUGACUGGACAUGCUGUGUUCACAGAUCUGACUGCAUCUUCAGACGAUAGUCUGCCAAGCUAAUGUGAUUAAUGUGUUCCUGGUGGCAGCAUUUCCUGCUACUCUGUUUUCCGUGAAGACAGAUCACACUGCCUCGCAGCCUCCAACUGAGCUCUAGAAGCCAGGCAGGAAGGAAGCCAAGCCCACUGCCGCCCACACCUCACCUCUGCACCUCAGCUGCUAUGCACACAUUCCACCAAUUUUUCAGAAAGGAGCGCCAUCCAUGGAGGAUGUGGAACAGCUGGGGGCCCUGAUUUUGCGCCCUCUCUCUUCCUCCAUGCCCCACCACACAGUCUCUGCAGAUGUCUAGUGUGAAGCGGAAGCGGUGUGGCUCGUUAGCAUGCCCGGAAAAGCGGCAGACGGAAGUGAUCUGACAGGCCUACUCUUGCAGCUGCAGGGAAUUGGUGGGUGGAGUGCCAGGGGCCAAGAGAGGACGAAGCUCAAGCGUGUCUUCACCCUUUGGCUUCCUUGAAGUACGAAGGCCUGUGGCCUGCCCUUGCUCCUCACCCUGUGGCACACUGGUCGAGCAGGUUACACCAGAUCCAUAGCCUUCCAUGCACUACCCAGUUUCUUAGAAGUUAAGGCGCGUCAAGAAUAAAAUGAAUGAAAAUGCUUUUGCUGGGGGAGAAGUAAAUACGAAGCUUUAUAAAAGCCUUUCCAGAGCUCAGCUGCCUCCAGUUACAAUGACUGCUGAUUGUGACGCUGCAGCCUCUGGUGUUCCUGAUGUAUUCACUGCUCUGACUUUGAGUGCCGCUGCUGAGUGCCUGGACAGAAAGUGACCCCUAGAACUGCAUGCAAUGGUUCCCAGAAAAUGGAGUUUCUUUUGAAGUGCAGACCCUACAAUGUCUCACCCCCCCCCCCAAGGU